AGAGAAAUGGCUGAGUGGUUUAUAGCACUCCUCUGCUAAAGGAGUAUAGAUUCUAUCGUAGGUUCGAAUCCUACUUUCUCUA
rnacentral:tRNA from 1 species